rnacentral:tRNA from 1 species
GGAGGGUAUCUCAGUGGUUAGAGAGCGUGCUCAGCAUGCACGAGGCCCUGGGUUCAACCCCCAGUAUCUCCA